UAAUCCACAUAAUAGUCUGAUGAAUUUCAUAACGAUUACCAAGAGGAUUUAAUGGUUGUCUCAAUGGAUCAACCGUACCACUAGGAUUUGUCAAUAAUGCUGGCAAUUUCAGCUGCCAAUGACAAUCCAUGUGAGUUGGUAUUUAAUUUAGCAGCAAUAAUCUCCUGAAGAUCGGGAUGAAAACCAUUGGACUGUCGUGAACUAUUUGUACUGCGUUCACGGGUUAUUGCAGAUGAAUGAUCAUCAUUAAUUAAAUUAUUUGAUGAUAAUGGGGUUGUCGAAAUUUGCGUUGGUGUUGAGUGCUAACACACGGGGCCGCCUUUUAAUCCAUUGGUGCGGUGGAGCCUCUUGUUGUCUAUACCAGUCCAUACCAUGCAUCAUCAACUUAUACACCAGCAAAAGCCAAAACUUGUUCUUACUUUUAAUCACUUGAACUUAAUAUUUUGCUUUUAAUGUAAUUACUGCUUCAAUUAAUAAAUUCAUCACAACAAACAAUUGUUAAAAUUUUAAUGAAAUAAAAAAUUACAUUUAAA